UGGGAAUAUUGUGAUGAGUACUGUGUUUGACACACUCAUGUUUGAUGGUCUGGCCUCUGCACUGAUACCCAGGAUCUUAGUCCAUUGUGUCUGUAGGGUUACAGCCAUCGUACUUAAUGAAAUCACUGCCGUGCCGGACAUGAUCAGAACUUGGGGCCCUACAGUGAUUGGUUUGGGCGCUUUGCUGAUUUCAUACAACAGGAUUGACUGGGAGGUAUCAACUCUCAUGAACGAAUCGGUCAGACGGCUUUAUUGAAGCGACUGGAAGCCCAACUUGAAGUUGUCCAGAGGUCAACUGUCCAGUAGUUUUAUCGUGUCUCCCAUGUACUAAAUACAUCAGAAAUGUACCCCCAACAACUUAGAAGCUGGGUUUUAUUUAUUUACCUAACAGUUCUAAUGUCAAUAAAUGUUAACUACGAUGAAAAGAAGUAAUGUCCUAA
rnacentral:sRNA from 1 species